AGAGUUUGAUCCUGGCUCAGGAUGAACGCUAGCGACAGGCUUAACACAUGCAAGUCGAGGGGCAGCGAGGGAGUGGCAACACUUCUGUCGGCGACCGGCGCACGGGUGAGUAACGCGUAUGCAACCUGCCCUUCACAGGGGGAUAACCGGGAGAAAUUCCGACUAAUACCGCAUACGUCCUCCGGGGGCAUCCCCGGGGGAUGAAAGAAUUAUCGGUGAAGGAUGGGCAUGCGUGAUAUUAGGUAGUUGGCGGGGCAACGGCCCACCAAGCCCACGAUAUCUAGGGGUUCUGAGAGGAAGGUCCCCCACAUUGGUACUGAGACACGGACCAAACUCCUACGGGAGGCAGCAGUGAGGAAUAUUGGUCAAUGGACGAGAGUCUGAACCAGCCAAGUAGCGUGAAGGAUGAAGGUCCUACGGAUUGUAAACUUCUUUUAUAAGGGAAUAAACCCUCCCACGUGUGGGAGCUUGUAUGUACCUUAUGAAUAAGCAUCGGCUAACUCCGUGCCAGCAGCCGCGGUAAUACGGAGGAUGCGAGCGUUAUCCGGAUUUAUUGGGUUUAAAGGGAGCGCAGGCUGCGAGGCAAGUCAGCGGUCAAAUGUCGGGGCUCAACCCCGGCCUGCCGUUGAAACUGUCUUGCUAGAGUUCGAGUGAGGUAUGCGGAAUGCGUUGUGUAGCGGUGAAAUGCAUAGAUAUGACGCAGAACUCCGAUUGCGAAGGCAGCAUACCAACUCGCGACUGACGCUGAGGCUCGAAAGCGUGGGUAUCGAACAGGAUUAGAUACCCUGGUAGUCCACGCAGUAAACGAUGAAUACUAACUGUUCGGAGGGCGACCUCUGAGUGGUAAAGCGAAAGCGUUAAGUAUUCCACCUGGGGAGUACGCCGGCAACGGUGAAACUCAAAGGAAUUGACGGGGGC
rnacentral:rRNA from 1 species